rnacentral:rRNA from 1 species
GACGGAGGAUGCAAGCGUUAUCCGGAAUGAUUGGGCGUAAAGCGUCUGCAGGUGGCAGUUCAAGUCUGCUGUGAAAGACCGGGGCUUAACUUCGGAAAGGCAGUGGAAACUGAACAGCUAGAGUAUGGUAGGGGCAGAGGGAAUUCCUGGUGUAGCGGUGAAAUGCGUAGAGAUCAGGAAGAACAUCGGUGGCGAAGGCGCUCUGCUGGACCAUAACUGACACUCAGGGACGAAAGCGAGGGGAGCGAAUGGG